AUGCAGUGAUGACUUUUAAUUUCUUCAACUGAAACUAGCCAUGAUGCUUUUUGAGCUUUUUAACCCUGAGCAUU
rnacentral:snoRNA from 1 species